rnacentral:lncRNA from 1 species
AGGAAUUGUGUGUUUAAAAUCAGCUCAAAAGACCUCUUUUUAUAGGUGAAAAAGUGGUGCUGACCGUUGCUUAAUUGACAAAUAAAAUCCCUGAUUUUAGGCUAAACAAUCGAUUGUUAAAUCUGAAUAGUCGAUUGUUCUUCAACGUUCAAAAAUCAAUUUAGGAUUCUGUGGAAACGGUCAGAUUAUAGUCGAUUGUGUGAAUUAAUCGAUUGUGUGACAAAGACAAUCGAUUGUUUUGAUA